CCUACGGGCGGCAGCAGUGGGGAAUAUUGGACAAUGGGGGCAACCCUGAUCCAGCCAUGCCGCGUGUGUGAAGAAGGCCCUCGGGUUGUAAAGCACUUUCAGUGAGGAAGAACGCCUGGUGGUUAAUACCCAUCAGGAAAGACAUCACUCACAGAAGAAGCACCGGCUAACUCCGUGCCAGCAGCCGCGGUAAUACGGAGGGUGCGAGCGUUAAUCGGAAUUACUGGGCGUAAAGCGCGCGUAGGUGGCUUGAUAAGCCGGUUGUGAAAGCCCCGGGCUCAACCUGGGAACGGCAUCCGGAACUGUCAAGCUAGAGUGCAGGAGAGGAAGGUAGAAUUCCCGGUGUAGCAGUGAAAUGCGUAGAGAUCGGGAGGAAUACCAGUGGCGAAGGCGGCCUUCUGGACUGACACUGACACUGAGGUGCGAAAGCGUGGGUAGCAAACAGGAUUAGAUACCCUUGUAGUC
rnacentral:rRNA from 1 species